ensembl:lncRNA
GAGAACCCGCCCCCUCUUCGCCACGCGAUUGGUCGCUCACGCUGUCUCUCCGGCGCCUCGCCUGCCCAUUGGGCGAGGCGGGGGCGCCCUCCGCCCCUCCCGGUUCUGUCGGUUGAGACGAGCCGUGAGUAAAUAGAAGCAGGAGCUCAAAAUGGCGGAGCCGUCGAGCCCGAUUCGCGGUGCGGCGUCGUCCGAGCAGGAGCCGUUCGGCACCAGACCAGCCCCAGACGCGAAGGUGUCCCGUGGGUCCCAGCCAGCCGCCAAGAAGAUGAAGGGAGCCGAAGAGAGGAGCCUGAAGGGUACUAAGCGCGUCAACGGUGAAGGGGGCGGCGGCAACGGCGGGAGCGGCAAGCAGUCGCUGCCGCUGCCAGCGGUCGUGCCGAGCUACAGCAGCCCCGCGGCGUGGGGUUUCCCCGCGCUCCCUUCUGGCCCCUCCGGCAGCGCGGGGGGCUUCGCUUUCCCUUCUCCGCUGCCCCGGAAGCUGCUGUCGCCCGCCGUUUUGCUGCCGUCGUCCGCCUCCCCCUCCUCUUCCUACCAGCAGCACCAGCACCGCCACCACCGGCACCGCCUGGCCCUGGCCGGCGAGGCGGGAGGCUGCAGCGGCGGGGCGGCCGGCGCUAGCGGCGGGAGCGCCAAGGCGAAGAGGCCCAAGGAAAAGCGGGACAAGGAGAGGAGGAAGCACGGAGCCCUGCCCGUGGUCGCAGCGGUGGGAGAUGGCGGCGGGGCCUUGAGUGCGGCAGGCCGGGAGGAGAACGGCGAGGUGAAGCUGCUGCUGCCGAAAGCUCAAAUCAAAGACAAAAUUAAAGAAAGGGAAAAGAAGCAAAAAGAGAAGAAGAAGCACAAAAUAAUGAAUGAAAUCAAGAAAGAAAAUGGAGAAGUCAAAUUAUUGCAAAAAGUUACUGAAGAAGGUGAUAACUUUAUGUAUUGUGAAGAAGAAAAAUGAAUCCAUGUCACAUCUUGUAUCUGACAUUAAAUGCACAAAACUGAGUAACUAAGGAGAAUAAUUCAGGAACUUUGUCAAAUAGUGAAAAACUGUGCAACAGGCAGCCUUAAUUCUGGCUGACUUCUUCAACUUCAUUUGCUGUAAUGGGAUGUAAUUAAGAUUGUGCUGUCACACUUGCUUGUACAUCCACUGAAUCUUGGAAUUGCACAGUAGUUUAGGUUGGAAGGGAGCCUGACUGGCAAGCCCAGAACUUGAUGUGAUAUUCUGGAUGUCUCAGCAGUGGUGAGCAGGGGGGGAAGAAUCAUCUCCCUCAACCUGCUGGCAGUGCUCUUCCUAAUCCUGUCCAGGAGGCUGCUGGCCUGCUUUACCAGGAAGGCACGCUGGUGGGCUUACGGUCAACCUGUCAUCCACCAGGCCACCCAAGGCCACCUCUGUCAGGCUGCUGCCCAGCCAGCUGAGCCCCAGCCUGUGCUGGCACACAGGGCUGUUCCUCUUUGCGCACCCCUGUGGUGACUUCAUGCGUCCACAGAGUUGACCAGUUCCUACAGCCUCUCAAGGUCACUCUCGCUGGCAGCACAACCCUGUGGUGCAUCAACAGCUCCUUCUGGUUUUGCAACACCUGCAAAGUUGCUGAGGGUGUGCUCUGUCCCAUGAUGCUGGUCGUUAAUGAAGAUGAUGAACAGCAUUGGCACAAGGUAUCAAUAUCUGAGUUACUGCAGUAGCAUCUGUCCUCCAGCUGGACUUUGUGCUGCUGAUCACGACCGUUUCAGCAGAGCAGUUAACCCAAGUCUUGAACCACCUCACUCUUCACUUGAGCAGGUCAUGCUGCAUGGCUUUUUCUGUGAGGAUGUCACUUACUUAAGUAGACCAACUAUUUAUUUUUUAAAUGUUAUUUUCAGACUCAAUGCUUUUGAAGUUAGGAACAAAUUCCUUAUAUGUUUUUCUGUUAUCUUGUCUGCUGUAGGAUUUAAUUUACAAACAAAAACCUGAAACCCCCAAAACAAACCAUUGUAUUCAAAAUACUUAUAGGUCAGAGGCAUGGAACCCUGUAAUUACAGCGUCAUGUAUUAUACUUUAAGCAGAGCUCUGAGUAACUGUAUUAACAACUACAACAGCUUAAAACCUGUGGUGAACAAUUGGCUUAGACCAUGAGGAAUGUGUAAGCUGGUGACUUCCUGUGAAAAGAACAGAUGUGGCUUUUCUUUGCUGAGCAUGAAAGGAAGUUGGUGGUUGUGAUACUGGGCAACACACAACUGCCUCAACGGUGAGCUCUUCGGGUUUUGUUUGCCUGUGCCUGCCAGCCUUUUGGGUUUUUUUACACUGUGUCCUCUUUCUAUUGUCAUUCAGCUGAUAAGGUGGAAGCUGCAAAGACAGCAAGUCUUGUUACACAGAUCUAAUAUAUGAUACCUAAUGGGGAUAUUUGGCCUCAAAUGGUGCUUUAUUUUCAAUUAAUAUAAAAAAAGCCUAUGUAGAGGGGCUCUGUUAGAGCUCUUCUGGUGUUCUGAGCUAGUUGAGUAGCAGAAUAGGUUCUUCUCACAUAACAGUGUUACAGCUUUAGGUGCCUUAUUUCAUAGAUGUGAUGUUAUCAGCCAAGUAUCAUGUUUUCGGUGUUCUUUAUGGUGUUGGUGGGAAGUGUUUUGUAGAGGCUAUAUUUGAUUUGCCUGUAUCCUGCAAAAUUCACUGCUAUUUCAGGGAAAGAAGGGAGUGGUCAGGAGAGCAGUUGUUUAGAGCAGAUGGAUCCUCUCCACUGGGUUUGUAUCCAUUCAGAACAGCAGCUCUGGAUGUCUUC